rnacentral:rRNA from 1 species
UACGUAGGGGGCAAGCGUUGUCCGGAAUCAUUGGGCGUAAAGCGCGUGUAGGCGGCCCGGUAAGUCCGCUGUGAAAGUCGGGGGCUCAACCCUCGAAUGCCGGUGGAUACUGUCGGGCUAGAGUGCGGAAGAGGCGAGUGGAAUUCCUGGUGUAGCGGUGAAAUGCGCAGAUAUCAGGAGGAACACCAAUUGCGAAGGCAGCUCGGUGGGACGUGACUGACGCUGAGACACGAAAGCGUGGGUAGCAAACAGG